rnacentral:rRNA from 1 species
AACUAACGCUGGCGGCGUGCCUAACACAUGCAAGUCGUACGAGAAAGUUGGCUUCGGCUGAUGAGUAAAGUGGCGCACGGGUGAGUAACGCGUGGAUAAUCUGCCUUUUAGUUGGGAAUAACGUACCGAAAGGUGCGCUAAUACCGGAUAAUACUGAGCAACUACUGUUGCUUAGUCAAAGAAGGCCUCUGUUUACAAGCUUUUGCUGAAAGAUGAGUCCGCGUACCAUUAGCUAGUUGGUAGGGUAAUGGCCUACCAAGGCUACGAUGGUUAGCUGGUCUGAGAGGAUGAUCAGCCACACUGGAACUGAGACACGGUCCAGACUCCUACGGGAGGCAG